GGGCGUAAAGAGCUCGUAGGCGGUUUGUCACGUCUGCUGUGAAAUUCCGAGGCUCAACCUCGGACUUGCAGUGGGUACGGGCAGGCUAGAGUGCGGUAGGGGAGAUGGGAAUUCCUGGUGUAGCGGUGGAAUGCGCAGAUAUCAGGAGGAACACCAAUGGCGAAGGCACAUCUCUGGGCCGUAACUGACGCUGAGGAGCGAAAGCGUGGGGAGCGAACAGGAUUAGAUACCCUGGUAGUCCACGCCGUAAACGGUGGGUGCUAGCUGUGGGCCACAUUCCACGUGGUCCGUGACGAAGUUAACACAUUAAGCACCCCGCCUGGGGAGUACGGCCGCAAGGCUAAAACUCAAAGGAAUUGACGGGGGCCCGCACAAGCGGCGGAGCAUGCGGAUUAAUUCGAUGCAACGCGAAGAACCUUACCAAGGCUUGACAUAUAGAGGAAAAGUGCAGAAAUGUACUCCCCGCAAGGUCUCUAUACAGGUGGUGCAUGGUUGUCGUCAGCUCGUGUCGUGAGAUGUUGGGUUAAGUCCCGCAACGAGCGCAACCCUCGUCCUAUGUUGCCAGCACGUAAUGGUGGGAACUCAUGGGAUACUGCCGGGGUCAACUCGGAGGAAGGU
rnacentral:rRNA from 1 species